AAAUGCAAUAAUUAAUGUGAAUUGCAGAAUUCAGUGAAUCAUCGAGUCUUUGAACGCACAUUGCGCCCCCUGGUAUUCCGGGGGGCAUGCCUGUCCGAGCGUCAUUGCUGCCCUCAAGCACGGCUUGUGUGUUGGGCUUCCGUCCCUGGCAACGGGGACGGGCCCAAAAGGCAGUGGCGGCACCAUGUCUGGUCCUCGAGCGUAUGGGGCUUUGUCACCCGCUCCCGUAGGUCCAGCUGGCAGCUAGCCUCGCAACCAAUCUUUUUAACCAGGUUGACCUCGGAUCAGGUAGGGAUACCCGCUGAACUUAAGC
rnacentral:misc_RNA from 1 species